rnacentral:rRNA from 1 species
AUUGAACGCUGGCGGCAGGCUUAACACAUGCAAGUCGAGCGGGGAAAGGUAGCUUGCUACCUGACCUAGCGGCGGACGGGUGAGUAAUGCUUAGGAAUCUGCCUAUUAGUGGGGGACAACAUCUCGAAAGGGAUGCUAAUACCGCAUACGUCCUACGGGAGAAAGCCGGGGACCUUCGGGCCUUGCGCUAAUAGAUGAGCCUAAGUCGGAUUAGCUAGUUGGUGGGGUAAAGGCCUACCAAGGCGACGAUCUGUAGCGGGUCUGAGAGGAUGAUCCGCCACACUGGGACUGAGACACGGCCCAGACUCCUACGGGAGGCAGCAGUGGGGAAUAUUGGACAAUGGGGGGAACCCUGAUCCAGCCAUGCCGCGUGUGUGAAGAAGGCCUUUUGGUUGUAAAGCACUUUAAGCGAGGAGGAGGCUACCGAGAUUAAUACUCUUGGAUAGUGGACGUUACUCGCAGAAGAAGCACCGGCUAACUCUG